rnacentral:rRNA from 1 species
UCCUACGGGAGGCAGCAGUAGGGAAUCUUCCGCAAUGGGCGAAAGCCUGACGGAGCAACGCCGCGUGAGUGAUGAAGGUCUUCGGAUCGUAAAACUCUGUUAUUAGGGAAGAACAUACGUGUAAGUAACUAUGCACGUCUUGACGGUACCUAAUCAGAAAGCCACGGCUAACUACGUGCCAGCAGCCGCGGUAAUACGUAGGUGGCAAGCGUUAUCCGGAAUUAUUGGGCGUAAAGCGCGCGUAGGCGGUUUUUUAAGUCUGAUGUGAAAGCCCACGGCUCAACCGUGGAGGGUCAUUGGAAACUGGAAAACUUGAGUGCAGAAGAGGAAAGUGGAAUUCCAUGUGUAGCGGUGAAAUGCGCAGAGAUAUGGAGGAACACCAGUGGCGAAGGCGACUUUCUGGUCUGUAACUGACGCUGAUGUGCGAAAGCGUGGGGAUCAAACAGGAUUAGAUACCCUGGUAGUCCACGCCGUAAACGAUGAGUGCUAAGUGUUAGGGGGUUUCCGCCCCUUAGUGCUGCAGCUAACGCAUUAAGCACUCCGCCUGGGGAGUACGACCGCAAGGUUGAAACUCAAAGGAAUUGACGGGGACCCGCACAAGC